rnacentral:rRNA from 1 species
CUGACGUUAGCGGCGGACGGGUGAGUAACACGUGGAUAACCUACCUAUAAGACUGGGAUAACUUCGGGAAACCGGAGCUAAUACCGGAUAAUAUAUUGAACCGCAUGGUUCAAUAGUGAAAGACGGUUUUGCUGUCACUUAUAGAUGGAUCCGCGCCGCAUUAGCUAGUUGGUAAGGUAACGGCUUACCAAGGCAACGAUGCGUAGCCGACCUGAGAGGGUGAUCGGCCACACUGGAACUGAGACACGGUCCAGACUCCUACGGGAGGCAGCAGUAGGGAAUCUUCCGCAAUGGGCGAAAGCCUGACGGAGCAACGCCGCGUGAGUGAUGAAGGUCUUCGGAUCGUAAAACUCUGUUAUUAGGGAAGAACAAAUGUGUAAGUAACUAUGCACGUCUUGACGGUACCUAAUCAGAAAGCCACGGCUAACUACGUGCCAGCAGCCGCGGUAAUACGUAGGUGGCAAGCGUUAUCCGGAAUUAUUGGGCGUAAAGCGCGCGUAGGCGGUUUUUUAAGUCUGAUGUGAAAGCCCACGGCUCAACCGUGGAGGGU